UCAGAUGCUUUCUAAGAUCGAACAGGUUGAUAAACUCAUCGAUCAAAUAUUCUACCGUCAGCAUACGAUCAAGGAACUGGAUAUACUUUUGUAUAUACUUCUUAGACCUUCAGUUAUUGGUGUCGCCAAGCAAUGUUAAACAAAUUCUGGAAUUAUGAAGUAUUACGAAAGUAUUUUAACACAAAAACCGAACCACCUCACGUCCAAUUG
rnacentral:misc_RNA from 1 species